rnacentral:rRNA from 1 species
AUGAACGCUAGCGGCAGGCUAAUACAUGCAAGUUGAGGGCAGCAUGAUAUACGCGAGUAUACUGGAUGGCGACCGGCGGACGGGUGAGUAAUAGGUAGGAGACCUACCUCAGUACAGGGGGAUAGCAUUAGAGAAAUCUGUGGUAAUACCCCAUGAGGUUAUAUGAAAUAGAGGCAUAUAAUCAAAGCAUAAGCGAUUAUGCGGUAUGAGAGGGGCCUACUGACCAUUAGCUAGUUGGUGAGGUAAGGGCUCACCAAGGCGAAGAUGGUAGGGGUUUUGAGAGAGAGACCCCCCACAUUGGAACUGAGAGACGGUCCAGACUCCUACGGGAGGCAGCAGUAGGGAAUAUUGGGCAAUGGGCGAAAGCCUGACCCAGCCAUGCCGCGUGAAGGAAGACGGCCUUAUGGGUUGUAAACUUCUUUACUACGCGAAUAGAGGUUAGUACGAGAUACUAAUAGGAAGGUAGUGUAGUAAAAAGCACCGGCUAACUCCGUG